AGUCUCCUGUGAAAAGUCAUCGAGUGAGGAUGUGUGUCGUUUGUUCCCGGCUUCUGUGAUUCGACUGCGCAAUUAUUACCUGAUUAUUGGCCAACAUUAAAGGCGGGAAAAAUUCCAAUAUGGACGCCAUCGUACUUUUCUAAAGAGAAUCUUCUGUACUAGAAUUUUUGUAACCGCGCGCAAUGCGGUUGGUAGAUUCAGUGUUUGCUUCGUUAUAGUUUUCUUAAAUAUUUUUAGAAAAAAAAUUUUAUUUUUUUAGUUAGUUUUAAUUAAAUUUAUAAUAUGAUAGUCGUGAAAUUAGAGUCAGUGUUUGUCCGCCAAUUAUAAAUUAUAAAUAUAGUUGAUAGUUUUUUAUUUUUAUUAUUUUUUUUUUUUAAUAUUUGUUUUCGAGAUAGAAUCAGUGUUUCUCAAGAGAAUAAGGCGAUCAUCCAUCACGCGAAGAGUUUCCAUUUCCUGAUUAUUGGACAAUGACAUCCUGUGAAUGCAGAUUCUUCGCAUCAUUGGUGAGUCGCAUGCAUUUAUGUUCCUCUGAUUACUCAAU